rnacentral:rRNA from 1 species
UACGAAGGGGACUAGCGUUGUUCGGAAUUACUGGGCGUAAAGCGCACGUAGGCGGAUUUGUAAGUCAGGGGUGAAAUCCCGGGGCUCAACCCCGGAACUGCCUUUGAUACUGCGAAUCUCGAGUCCGGAAGAGGUGAGUGGAAUUCCUAGUGUAGAGGUGAAAUUCGUAGAUAUUAGGAAGAACACCAGUGGCGAAGGCGGCUCACUGGUCCGGUACUGACGCUGAGGUGCGAAAGCGUGGGGGAGCAAACAGGG